GACUGUCGAUCUACCGAGCAAUAUCAUCCGCUCGGUGGAAGAUCUUC
rnacentral:pre_miRNA from 1 species